rnacentral:rRNA from 1 species
GACGAACGCUGGCGGCGUGCUUAACACAUGCAAGUCGAACGGUGAAGCGCUUUCCUUUUUGGUUGGUGUGGAUGAGUGGCGAACGGGUGAGUAACACGUGAGUAACCUGCCCCCUUCUUCUGGAUAACCGCAUGAAAGUGUGGCUAAUACGGGAUAUUCUGCGCCUGCUGCAUGGUGGGUGUGGGAAAGAUUGUGCCUUUGGGUGUUUUCGGUGGGGGAUGGGCUCGCGGCCUAUCAGCUUGUUGGUGGGGUGAUGGCCUACCAAGGCGGUGACGGGUAGCCGGCCGGAGAGGGUGGACGGUCACACUGGGACUGAGACACGGCCCAGACUCCUACGGGAGGCAGCAGUGGGGAAUAUUGCACAAUGGGCGCAAGCCUGAUGCAGCGACGCCGCGUGAGGGAUGGAGGCCUUCGGGUUGUGAACCUCUUUCGCCAGUGAAGCAGGCCUGCUCCUUGUGGGUGGGUUGACGGUAGCUGGAUAAGAAGCGCCGGCUAACUACGUG